UACGUAGGGGGCAAGCGUUGUUCGGAAUUACUGGGCGUAAAGGGCGCGUAGGCGGCACGGCAAGUCAGGAGUGAAAGGCCUGGGCUCAACCGAGGAACUGCUUUUGAGACUGCCGAGCUAGAGUGCGGAAGGGGCAACCGGAAUUCCCAGUGUAGCGGUGAAAUGCGUAGAUAUUGGGAAGAACACCUGAGGCGAAGGCGGGUUGCUGGGCCGACACUGACGCUGAGGCGCGAAAGCCAGGGGAGCAAAGCGGGG
rnacentral:rRNA from 1 species